GGGUGGGUGGCAUUUCUUUGGUGCAUGUGCAUAGAGGAGAUCCGACUUCUCUUUGGGUGAGAGAUCUAGAAUUGUUCUAGGAUUUUCGAAUAAGAAAAAAUACAAGAGAUAAGAGAGUUCUCCUCUGAUUUUUUUCUCUACCAUCCAGCACCUCCUCUAAUCCAUCUUUGAUAUCGAAAGGAUUCGAGACAAUCGAAGAAG
rnacentral:lncRNA from 1 species